rnacentral:lncRNA from 1 species
UAUAGAUAAUGAGAAAAAGCUGAGAAGAGAGAUCCCUUUUUCAUGCUGUAUCAGUUAGCUAUGCUGCCUAACAAAUCACCCCAAAACCCAGUGACUUAAAACAGUGAGCAUUUAUUAUUUCUUGCUACUUUGCUCAUCAGCUGGGCUCACCUGCCAGUUUGUGCCAGGCUUACUUAUGCAGGUCAGGUAAGGCCAGGUUUAGGCCAUUGAGAGGCAGAUGUAGGAUGCCCUUACCCAUGUCUGUGGUUGGUUGGCUGUUCCUGAGGCAACAGACAGACUAGGCCAUGUGUCUCCCAACACCCAGCAGGCUAACCCAGGCCUGUAUAUAUGACUACGGAUUUCCAAGUGAGUAGAAGCAUACAAGGUCUUCGGAAGCCAGUGAUUGGGUUCAGAACAUGCCACCCCAUAAUAUAGCACCUUGGAAUUUGAGAAAACAGCAGAAGUAAGCAGGUCACUCUCACCUUCCUCUCAACGCUUCUCCCUUGAAGCUGACCUUCUCCUGAAGUAGAUCAUAAAAACUUCUUUCCAGAGGUGCCCUCCCUAUACCUGGAGGAAAGAAACAUUCUUAUCCUUGAGGACACGGAGAAAUCAAGAAGGAUCUAAACAAACAGGCUUUGCUAAGUUUUCCCCAGUUUAUUACUAUUAGGUCAUACCCCCAUUGUCCACUCAUACUUCUGCACAACUGUUUACUCUUUAUCAAAGCUAAACAUAAAAAUAGUUUUUUCUCUUUCUUUGAAUCUUCAUUUCUGGAGUCUCCCAUGUAAUGUAAAACUUCAUUAAAUUGUUAUGCUUUUCUCUUGAUGAUCUGUUUCUUGUUAUAAGGCUUCUCAACCACAAUCCUAGCAAUGGAUGAGAAAAUAAAUCUUCUCUCCUACAAUGGCCAUGGUACAGUAUCACCUCUGCUGCAAGCAAUUGGCCAAAGCAAGUCAUAAGGCGGGCCACAUUCAAGGGCUCCCACCCAUCCCUCAGGCUCCAGCUUCGAAAUCACUUCUUCUGGGAGGUCCUCCUUUUAUCUGCUGUGAACUCCAGGAUUCUCUGUCAUCACAGGGAGUUUCACAACCAGAGAAAAAGGACUCCUAUCACUAGAGAUGAGAAGUCACGUCAGCUCCUGAAUAAGAAAUCACCUAAACCAACAUUGUCAUAAAACAACCAGAACUCUCAUGUGUUCUAAGGGCCCGUUUAUUUUUCCUAAAAGUCAUGUGGACUCCCAGAAGUGCCCCUCUGCCCUUCUUCAUCCCCUAUUAAGAUGCUAUUUAAGCCCCACAUUUCCAACCUAUCUCUGACACAUUUUUUGGCGAAACCCUGUGUGUGCCUGUGUAAUUAUAUCUGGGAUUUUUCCCCCU